UACGUAGGGGGCAAGCGUUGUCCGGAAUCAUUGGGCGUAAAGCGCGUGUAGGCGGGUCGGUAAGUCUGCUCUGAAAGUCCAAGGCUCAACCUUGGGAUGCGGGUGGAUACUGCCGACCUAGAGUCCGGAAGAGGCGAGUGGAAUUCCUGGUGUAGCGGUGAAAUGCGCAGAUAUCAGGAGGAACACCAAUGGCGAAGGCAGCUCGCUGGGACGUGACUGACGCUGAGACGCGAAAGCGUGGGGAGCAAACAGG
rnacentral:rRNA from 1 species